GAUGAACGCUGGCGGCGUGCCUAAUACAUGCAAGUCGAGCGAACAGACGAGGAGCUUGCUCCUUUGACGUUAGCGGCGGACGGGUGAGUAACACGUGGAUAACCUACCUAUAUGACUGGGAUAAUUUCGGGAAACCGGAGCUAAUACCGGAUAAUAUAUUGAACCGCAUGGUUCAAUAGUGAAAGACGGUUUUGCUGUCACUUAUAGAUGGUUCCGCGCCGCAUUAGCUAGUUGGUAAGGUAACGGCUUACCAAGGCAACGAUGCGUAGCCGACCUGAGAGGGUGAUCGGCCACACUGGAACUGAGACACGGUCCAGACUCCUACGGGAGGCAGCAGUAGGGAAUCUUCCGCAAUGGGCGAAAGCCUGACGGAGCAACGCCGCGUGAGUGAUGAAGGUCUUCGGAUCGUAAAACUCUGUUAUUAGGGAAGAACAAAUGUGUAAGUAACUAUGCACGUCUUGACGGUACCUAAUCAGAAAGCCACGGCUAACUACGUG
rnacentral:rRNA from 1 species